rnacentral:rRNA from 1 species
CCUACGGGAGGCUGCAGUGGGGAAUAUUGGGCAAUGGGCGCAAGCCUGACCCAGCAACGCCGCGUGAAGGAAGAAGGCUUUCGGGUUGUAAACUUCUUUUCUCAGGGACGAAGAAAGUGACGGUACCUGAGGCAUAAGCAACGGCUAACUACGUGCCAGCAGCCGCGGUAAUACGUAGGUGGCAAGCGUUAUCCGGAUUUACUGGGUGUAAAGGGAGUGUAGGCGGGAAAGCAAGUCAGAUGUGAAAACCAUGGGCUCAACCUGUGGCCUGCAUUUGAAACUGUUUUUCUUGAGUACUGGAGAGGCAGACGGAAUGCGUGGUGUAGCGGUGAAAUGCGUAGAUAUUAGGAGGAACACCAGUGGCGAAGGCGGUCUGCUGGACAGCAACUGACGCUGAGGCGCGAAAGCGUGGGGAGCAAACAGGAUUAGAUACCCGUGUAGUC